UGUCCGGAAUUAUUGGGCGUAAAGAGCUCGUAGGCGGUCUGUCGCGUCGGCUGUGAAAACCUGGGGCUCAACUCCAGGCCUGCAGUCGAUACGGGCAGACUAGAGUUCGGUAGGGGAGACUGGAAUUCCUGGUGUAGCGGUGAAAUGCGCAGAUAUCAGGAGGAACACCGGUGGCGAAGGCGGGUCUCUGGGCCGAAACUGACGCUGAGGAGCGAAAGCGUGGGGAGCGAACAGG
rnacentral:rRNA from 1 species